GCUAAUUCUGCACGUAUGCGGAUUGCGCCCCUCGCGGCGGUUGGCGGGAGGAGGGUAAUUGUUGGGUUAUUAUUAUUAGAUACAAAACUAAAUGCAAAGCAGGCGUAAUAGUAAAACAGUUCGCACUUAAUGACGCCAAUUUCAAUUUGGAUAGGGAAACUCUAACAGCAAGAUAUGAAAAUGAAAGAAUAUUGGUCGAUAAGCAAGUAACGAUACUAAUAAACUUACCUAAAGUUCAAAAGGAUACAAUUGAGAAAUUUAUCAGACUUCAAUCGACUGCUUCCAACUGUUUGUCGGUUUUAUUGACACAAAACAUUCCCACAGACAGCUGGGACGAGAUUCUGGUAAAUAAAGGCACCGUAGCGUUAUCAGAAAAAUCGUUAUUUCUAUGGGAGCAAUCGCUCUCAUUAAGAUGAAAAUACCGCAACAAAUGAAAGAUUUCCUAACUACCCAGUAUGAAAUCUCAGAAAGGAUAGAAAAAAAAAACUAAACCAAAAAGUAUUCAACACGACCUCAAUAGACCCCAAGUCAGUAGCAGCAAUAAUUUAAAUGGUAAUUUCUUCAAAAAUCCAACGUUCACAUCCGAACAGUACGAACAACCGUCGUACGAACUAUGUACAGAGGGGCAUGAGCUCAAAUCUUGGGAGAGAUUCAAGAAAUUGAAUACGACCGAAACAAUUUUGAAAAAGAAAAAAGACUUUGUACAAACUGCUUGUCACAUGCGCAAGCGAAAGCAAAUUAAAUUGCGUUUAUUGUCAUAAACGACAUCAUUCAAUGCUUUAUUACAGCUCAUUUUCCAGCUGACUCCCAAACAGCGCAAAUAUGAAAAAAGUCACGGGUUUAGUUGCAACAGCAAAUCCUGAAGUGCGAAAUCCCUAAAAUUGCCAAGAAGCACCAUGCUGUUCAAAGGCAUUAAAAACCCAAACGAUUGCAAUGGAAUGCAAUAUCUGGCCAGUUUUCAUACACUACACAGUCAGCAUCCGCAAUUUCUGCCAUAACAAAGCGCCAAAUUUUAUCCUCUGGAGCAUAACCUUUCAACCCCGUAGGAUAGAUUUCGCCAAUUAUGAGACAAGCGAAAAUCGUGAUACAAGAAUUAUGGCUAGACGGAACCGACUGGGACGAACAAGUAAAACCUAUUCGUUUGAAAAAUUGUUUCAGUUCCCAAACAAUCUGGACGACAUUUCUCAGAUACAAAUCCCACGAUAAGUAAAAUUUGCUCCAGAGCACAAAGCCGAACUAAACGGCUUCUAUGACGCCUCUGAAAAGGCAUAUUGCGCCGCUAUAUAUGUUCGCACACAAAGCGACAUUGUGAUCACAAGCCACUAACUAGUAGCAAAAGCAAAGGUGGCUCUUCUAAGAACAAUAAGUCUACCACGACUUAAACUAUGGGGCGUGCUACUACUAAAAUUACCAAAAUAUAUCUGUAGCCCAAUUUCAAAAUUGUACUGGCUUGGUUAGAAGAACCACCACAUGUAUGGAAGACGUAUAUUUCCAAUCGAACGCCUCAAAAACUUGACUUAGUAGGAUCAGCCACUUGGCGGCAAGUAGCCAGUACUGACAAUCCAGCUGAUCUAGGUACAAGAGAGUGUAAACCCUGCACUUUGCCACCACCGUCUGGUGGAAUGGCCCCCGGUGGUUAAUAGAAUCUCCUGAUUCUAGACCACAAUCGCCCAUGAGCAAUAUAAUUGCCCCAGAGAGUCGAAAAAUAGACAUUUUUCAUACAACACUAGUUGAUACCGACAUCCUUGAACGAUUUUCAUCGUUUCCUCGAGCCUUCAGAGUCAAGGGUUCAGCAAACUUCCAAUGCGAUAGCGACGCACUUAGACUUUUAAAAAGUUCGCUUUUAUCGCAUAUACUCAAGCGAGCUAGUCCAGCCACAAUAUAUCACUAUUGAGAGAAUCAAAACCUAUCGAUAAAAGUCCCCUCUUAGUUCUGAACCCAUUCCUAGACCUUUAGUGUGGUCUUCUUCGUGUGCAUGGUCGGCCAGAGAAGUCUCGACUUGUCACAUUACUCAUCAGUUAUAUCCACAUACUAAUGAUUUAUGCCGAAAAUGGCCUUAUGCAACAUAUGGUCCGCCAAAAAUGUUAUAUUCCUGCACUACGCAUAAGCAGAAGAUGCGAACACUGGAACGCUGCAACUUCUCUCUGGCUUUCUCCAUCACAGGUGUCGAUUUUGCUGGGCCUUUUCAGAUAAAGGAGUCCAUGUUAAGGUCUCCCACUCUGAUGAUAGGUUAAGUGGCUUUCUUUAUGUGUUUUACGACGAAAGCAGUCAUCGGACGACGUGGCUUUCCAUCGCAGACAAAGAGCGACAAUAGUAAAGCUUUUAUCGGCGCUCAACUAGCCAUCGAAAAAAAGUUUGUGGACUUUAUCAAACAAGUCUUACCUGAGACUGUACAAAAGUACGCGCUCAGGGCAUUAAUUGGAAAUAUCUCCUCCCAAGCGCUCCUCAUGUGGGUGGUUUAUUAGAAUCAACUGUAAAAAGCUUCAAAUCCCACUUCAGAAAGGAAGCUGAAAAUCAAAAAUUAUGUAUUCACUACAUUAUUAAUUUAAAUUGAAUCCAUUCUUAAUUCACGGCUACUACAAUUCUCUCGCAAGAUCCUUCAGAUUUCACAGCCUUAACUCCAGGGCACUUUCUCAAAGGAGCAUCCAUUCUGGCCAUACCUGAGCCAGGCGUGGAGUCGCUAUCCUUAUUAAAUCCAUGGGAAAUACUUAAAAUUCUCCAACACGAUUUCAGCCGCCGAUGGAAUGAUGAAUAUAUAAAGGAUCUCCAUCAAAUAUACCGUUGGAAGACUUCUGAACAAGCGCCAAAAUUUGUAGAAUGUGUCAUCAUACAUUAUGAUUGUCUACAUCCUAUCGAAUGACGGUUUGAUAGGAAAGCUUCUUUACGGCUCCGACGGUUAUAUACGAGUCGUUGAUUUCCGUACCCCAAGUGGAAAGCUGACCAGACCGCUCGUGAAGCUGUACUUUCUACCGCAGAUAAUAACGGCAAGAUAACUAUGGACACAAGUGUACCUACGCCAACGACUGCACCCGGUCGGUUAUCAAUAUACCGGUACCUGGGGUUACUCCAGCGUCCCGAGCUAAACAGAGUAUCGAUGUACUCCCGAUAACACCACACACCAAUACAUAUAUCCACACCACCCACCGAGGGAAACCAACACACACCACAUACGAUCACACCAUCCUAAUCUCACACCAUCCUAAUUUCUCUGCCCAAUCAAAAAGGAUCGACGACUUGAUCCGGGCCUUUUUUUCUUCGAUUGCUACCAUCGAGCCCACACGGGAUAUCUGAGUUUAUUGAAUUUUCAUCGUUUUUUCUGCUCGAAACAGCGUUCAAACAGCGUUUUCCGUCACUUGCUAUUAUUAUAACACUGUAGAGUUUAACGUGUAAAAACAAGUGUGUCAACAUUAAAAGGUGUAAACUCGACAAUCUUAA